AUAUUGCGCAAUGGGGGAAACCCUGACGCAGCAACGCCGCGUGAGUGAGGAAGGUCUUCGGAUUGUAAAACUCUUUUAUUUGGGAAAAAUGGCCUAGUAGUUAAUACCUACUAGGAGUGAUGGUACCAAAGGAAUAAGCACCGGCUAACUUCGUGCCAGCAGCCGCGGUAAUACGAAGGGUGCAAGCGUUGUUCGGAAUCAUUGGGCGUAAAGCGCGCGCAGGCGGAUUGGUAAGUCAGGUGUGAAAUCUCGAAGCUCAACUUCGAAACUGCGCCUGAAACUACUAGUCUAGAAUGUCGGAGGGGGCAGGGGAAUUUCACGUGUAGGGGUAAAAUCCGUAGAGAUGUGAAGGAACACCGGAGGCGAAGGCGCCUGCCUGGACGACUAUUGACGCUGAGGCGCGAAAGCGUGGGGAGCAA
rnacentral:rRNA from 1 species